AGUGAACGCUGGCGGCGUGCUUAACACAUGCAAGUCGAACGAGAACGGAUUAUAGCUUGCUAUAAUUGUCAGCUAAGUGGCGCACGGGUGAGUAAUGUAUAGGUAAUAUGCCUCUUACUAAGGGAUAACAAAUGGAAACGUUUGCUAAUACCUUAUACUCCUUAUUAACAGAAGUUAAUAAGGGAAAGAUUUAUUGGUAAGAGAUUAGCCUGUAUUGUAUCAGUUAGUUGGUGGGGUAAUGGCUUACCAAGACGAGGACACAUAACUGGUUUGAGAGGAUGAUCAGUCACACUGGAACUGAGACACGGUCCAGACUCCUACGGGAGGCAGCAGUGGGGAAUAUUGCACAAUGGACGAAAGUCUGAUGCAGCAACGCCGCGUGGAGGAUGACACAUUUCGGUGCGUAAACUCCUUUUAUAUGAGAAGAUAAUGACGGUAUUAUAUGAAGAAGCACCGGCUAACUACGUGCCAGCCGCCGCAGUAA
rnacentral:rRNA from 1 species